rnacentral:rRNA from 2 species
GAUGAACGCAGGAGGCCGUAUUGUAUUGUUUGUGGUCCGAGGUAUCCGAUUAGAGGCUUGCGCCAAGACUUUAGCGGCGGACGGGUGAGUAACACGUGGGCAACCUGCCUGUAAGACUGGGAUAACUUCGGGAAACCGAAGCUAAUACCGGAUAGGAUCUUCUCCUUCAUGGGAGAUGAUUGAAAGAUGGUUUCGGCUAUCACUUACAGAUGGGCCCGCGGUGCAUUAGCUAGUUGGUGAGGUAACGGCUCACCAAGGCAACGAUGCAUAGCCGACCUGAGAGGGUGAUCGGCCACACUGGGACUGAGACACGGCCCAGACUCCUACGGGAGGCAGCAGUAGGGAAUCUUCCGCAAUGGACGAAAGUCUGACGGAGCAACGCCGCGUGAGUGAUGAAGGCUUUCGGGUCGUAAAACUCUGUUGUUAGGGAAGAACAAGUAUGAGAGUAACUGCUCGUACCUUGACGGUACCUAACCAGAAAGCCACGGCUAACUACGUGCCAGCAGCCGCGGUAAUACGUAGGUGGCAAGCGUUAUCCGGAAUUAUUGGGCGUAAAGCGCGCGCAGGCGGUUUCUUAAGUCUGAUGUGAAAGCCCACGGCUCAACCGUGGAGGGUCAUUGGAAACUGGGGAACUUGAGUGCAGAAGAGAAAAGCGGAAUUCCACGUGUAGCGGUGAAAUGCGUAGAGAUGUGAUCGAACACCAGUGGCGAAGGCGGCUUUUUGGUCUGUAACUGACGCUGAGGCGCGAAAGCGUGGGGAGCAACCAGGAUUAGAUACCCUGGUAGUCCACG